AUCAUAAAUAUCGCGAUAUUGUGUUUUACCCGUUUUCAUUUUUCGAUAUGCAUUUUUUUUUAUAUCUAAGGGCAGGUUGCUGAGGGAGUGAAAGGCGAACGAUGAAGUUUGGGCCGUUUGGCACGGUGUUGAGGUGGAAAAACAGAGCACCAUUGCCGUCUUUACGUCUCUUGUCCCAGCUUCACUCCAGGUCGUCGUUUGGUAUCGCGUUUGACAUCGAUGGGGUUAUCCUUCGUGGCCGCGUGCCCAUUGGAGGCUCCCCUCAAGCUUUGAGAAGAUUGUACAGAGACUAUGGUGCCUUGAAGUUUCCAUUCCUUUUCUUGACAAACGGUGGCGGGAUCCCAGAAUCUAGACGAGCCUCUGAAUUAAGUGAACUUUUGGGAGUAAACAUUUUACCUUCUCAGGUUGUGCAGGGUCACUCUCCUUUUAAAAAUUUGUUGAAGAGUUCAAUGGAUAUUUCCUUCUUCAGAUUUGAGAAUGAACUCAUCAUUGCCCUUGGAAAGGGGGAACCUGCUCUUGUGAUGUCUGAAUAUGGUUUCAAAAAAGUUCUCUCAUUAGAUGAGUAUGCAUCUUACUUUAAGAACAUCGAUCCUGUAUCUCAAUAUAAAAACUGGACAACAGAGAAGAUAUUUAAUAGCAAAGCCAACACCAAGGACUUGGUGCCAAGAUAUGAUCUUUUAUCUGACAGAGUUAAAGCAGCAUUUGUUGUCAGUGAUCCUGUUGAUUGGGGAAGGGACAUUCAGGUUCUCUGUGAUGUGUUAAGAUCUGGAGGGCUGCCUGGACAGGAGAAUGGGCCUCAACCCCCUCUAUAUUUUGCUGCUGAUGAUCUUGAAUAUCAGGCAGCUUUUCCUUCUGAACGUCUUGGUAUGGGUGCCUUCAGGAUUGCACUAGAAAGCAUCUUCAACAGAAUUCACCAUAAUGCUUUGGAGUAUACAUCUUUUGGAAAACCGAAUCCAUUUGUAUUCAAAAAUGCUGAAGCCAUAUUGAGACAACUUCAGCCUUCAUGUCAUGAUGGUUAUUUCAUGGAUAAUGGAAACACCGAUUCAAAUUCUUUCGAAACCUUGUAUAUGAUUGGUGAUAAUCCUUUAGUUGAUAUCAGAGGCACCCAAAAGGCAGGGCAUCCUUGGUUUUCCAUUUUGACUAGAACAGGCGUUUUCAAGGGGAAGGAAAACCAUGCAGAGUUUCCUGCUGAUUUGAUUUGGAAUUCUAGAAGAUGUUGUCCUUGUGGUUAAACUUGGUUCAGAGAUGAAGGUGUUUCACUGUAAAAUAUUCAUGACCAAUUUCUGUUCAUCAUAUGAUGAAGCUGGCUUCUUCUUUCUUGUGGUUGUUGAUACUGUUGAAGAGGCAGUGGACUAUAUUUUGAAAAAGGAGUAGGUUGAUGAUUCCUUUGUACAAAAGAGUUCAAUAAGUCAGAUGAGUUUGAACUUGGAUAUGAAAGUAAUUUAUUGAUUUUAAUUUCUAAAUUUUUAUUUUAUUUUCUUUCCCUCACAUUGGAUUCGUGAGUCUUUGAUGGGGGUUGGAGCUUCGUGAGUCUUUUGAGUCUAAGAAUACCUUCUUUUAAUCAAUCAAUCCCGAGAACUCUUUGAGAGAA